GCGUCCACAGGCUCCCAGAGGCAGAGUCGGCAGAGGAGCACCGCUGGAAUUUGUGGCUGUUUUUCUCUCCUCUCAGCGGGGGUCGCCACUGAAGUGCCGCUUUAAUCCCAGGCCCAGCGCGGUGGGUUAAGGAUCCAGUGCUGGCGUCGCUGUCACAUAGGCUGCAGCUGUGGCUGGAAUUCGAUCCCGGGCCCAGGAGCUCCCAUGUGCUGCAGAUAUAAGGGGAGUCUGGCCCUCCAUCCCUCAGCGUGGCUGGAAAAAGAGGGAAGAUCAGGCGACAGUAAAGG
rnacentral:lncRNA from 1 species